rnacentral:rRNA from 1 species
GGCGGACGGGUGAGUAAUGCUUGGGAAUCUGGCUUAUGGAGGGGGAUAACUGUGGGAAACUGCAGCUAAUACCGCGUAUUCUCUGAGGAGGAAAGGGUGGGACCUUAGGGCCACCUGCCAUAAGAUGAGCCCAAGUGGGAUUAGGUAGUUGGUGGGGUAAAGGCCUACCAAGCCUGCGAUCUCUAGCUGGUCUGAGAGGAUGACCAGCCACACUGGAACUGAGACACGGUCCAGACUCCUACGGGAGGCAGCAGUGGGGAAUAUUGCGCAAUGGGGGGAACCCUGACGCAGCCAUGCCGCGUGAAUGAAGAAGGCCUUCGGGUUGUAAAGUUCUUUCGGUAAUGAGGAAGGGAUGUUAUUAAAUAGAUAGCAUCAUUGACGUUAAUUACAGAAGAAGCACCGGCUAACUCCGUGCCAGCAGCCGCGGUAAUACGGAGGGUGCGAGCGUUAAUCGGAAUAACUGGGCGUAAAGGGCACGCAGGCGGACUUUUAAGUGAGAUGUGAAAUCCCCGAGCUUAACUUGGGAACUGCAUUUCAGACUGGGAGUCUAGAGUACUUUAGGGAGGGGUAGAAUUU